GGCGGGCAGGUGGCAGCUUCCUCUCGCGCGGGGCCCUCCCAGCGCGCCGCACGCAGGCGGGACCGCCGCCACUCGCCGCCUGUGCGCGCCACGCUCCACAGCCUUCCGCCGCGCCGACGCGCCACCAGUAUGGGGCUUCGAACGACAAUAGCACGAAUAGAAACCAAAAGACAGGAAUCUUGUGUUGAUGAGGACUGGAGAGAGAUAUCUUCACAGUUAAAUGUGUAGUGAGGAAUGGUAACUCCACCACCGUUGGCGUGCAACUAUAAAUUUUUGCCAACGGUUGCGGAGUUCCUUAACCUCACUACAUUGGAUCAACAUGGUUCGUGCAGUAAGGACAAUAAAGAUCACCAGAGUUCUUAUGGAAAAAUAGAAGCAAAGUUGCUGAAUGGAACUAGUCUAAGUUGGUAGUUGUAUGUGCAUCGAUAGUUUGUAGUACAUAAACAUUCUGACUGUCUUCAUUGUGAAAUUGUCUGUUGAAAUAAAGAACAAUUUUCUGCCCCUUUCAUAAAUA
rnacentral:lncRNA from 1 species